UACGGAGGGUGCAAGCGUUAUCCGGAUUCACUGGGUUUAAAGGGUGCGUAGGAGGGCAGGUAAGUCAGUGGUGAAAUCUCCGAGCUUAACUUGGAAACUGCCGUUGAUACUAUCUGCCUUGAAUAUUGUGGAGGUGAGCGGAAUAUGUCAUGUAGCGGUGAAAUGCUUAGAUAUGACAUAGAACACCAAUUGCGAAGGCAGCCCGCUACACGGUUAUUGACACUGAGGCACGAAAGCGUGGGGAUCAAACAGG
rnacentral:rRNA from 1 species